rnacentral:lncRNA from 1 species
AGCUGCCAUGUACUAGGCCAUGUGGCAAGGGCCUGGUUGGGGACCUCCAGGAGCUGAGAGCAUCCUCUGGACAACAUGGAAAAAGAAAAUGGUGACCUCAGCCCUAUAGGUAGAAGGAAUUGAAUCCUGUCAACAAUGAUCCUCAUCACUCACUACAGAUGUUACUUUAAGACAUUCUGGAGCAGCGUCAUGUGCAGGAGAAAAUAGUAUCAUCUCAGCCUUCUAUGAAAUCAAGGCAAUAUGUGGGUAGCACCUCCGCCCAUCUCUCUCUUGCUCCUGGUCUCAUCGUGUGAUGGGCCUCGUCCUGCCUCACUUUCUGCCACGACUAAGAGCUCCCUGAGGCCUCUCCAGAAGCAGAUAUCACUAUGCUUCCUACACAGCCUGCAGAACCGAACAAUGAGGAAGUGAGUGCUUUUGUAAUUCCUGAACGACUGUGUCUUACAUUUAUUAAGUUCUCUUGCCUGCCACCAUGUAAGAUAUGCCUUUACUCUUCCACCUUCCACCAUGAUUGUGAGGCCUCCCCAGCCAUGUGAAACUGCCUUUGAGCUUAUACUGAAUUAUACCACCAGCUUUCCUAGGUCUUGAAGCUUACAGACAGCAGAUCAUGGGACUUCUCAGGCACCAUAGUCAAUCAUAGAUAAAUGAUCAAAUGAUUCGGAACUUGAAAAGUGAUAGCUUUAUGCAUUCUCCUUAAGAAGAAACCUGUGCCCUGAUCCUGCCUACUCACCCAAAGGCACUGUGAGAUAGCGUCAAAGGAACAGCUAGUAAGAGACGCAGAGCCAGAAAUCAGGGAAGUAAAAUACACUUGACAUCUACGUUCAGAAAGAAAUUUUAGGAGGCAGAAGCAAAUGGAUCAGAAGCUGCUUACCAAAGAAACCAUUGGUGGAGAAAGUUAUGUGACCAACUUGUCUGAGUCUAGGGAGAUGGAACGCUCACACACAAGUUUCAUGAAGCGGAUUUGAUACUUACAGAUAGGCAGCAAGGACCAACAGAAGCUGAUGAUCUAUGGUGAACUUUUUCCCAAGGCUCCAGAAAGCUGCCUAGAGUAGAUGGAGUCUUGUCUGUGUGUGCCCCACUGGUCCUGCAGUUGAAGGAUCCGGUAAAGCAGCCUGCCCUGGGUUUUAUACUCCAGAGGAACGUGAUUUGCUGGACUAAAGCAUUGAAGUGCAUCCUCUUUCUGGGGGGCACUGGAACAGAGCCUGGUCUGUUCUAGCCAGUCCCUUUCUAUCUAAGGAUGUUGCAUUCCCAGUACAUUCUACAGUUAUUCUUGAGAACUAUAAUCAAAUAAGCAGGGAGAACUGGAGGCUCAUUGUGGAACCCUCAAGGAGCAUGUGGUCUUCAUCCCUCAGUUUAUAAAUGGCCAAGGAGAGUAAUGCAACAAAAACUUCUCAGAGGUAAGAGCCAGAGUUCCCAAAGAACCGUGGACAAAGCGUUCUGUCUAGUGGGCAGAAUUCAUCCAACGAAGGUCUCCUAACUACAGAGGGUCACAUCUGGAUCUGAUGGCACCUACAGAACUUGGACUCUGAGUGACAAUCAGUGACCAGGAAAUUGGAACCCAGGUUUUCCCAACCUACAUCUACAAGAUGGAAUGGGUCUGAUUCGCAGGUUUUCAGUGAAAGAAGCCAACCUUAAUCAGGCUGUGAUAUGAUGAGGAAAUAAAAUUUGCUGUGCUAAUC